AAGUCGUAACAAGGUUUCCGUAGGUGAACCUGCGGAAGGAACGUUAAAACAACCCUGUGAAUAUUGAAGUUCCCCCAGGGCAGAAAAAUGGGCUUCCUCUAGUAAAUCAUUGUCUUAACAAGGUUUUGAGUUAGAGGAUGGCGCACGAGUAGCACCUGUAUUGGGUCGAGCGUUUCCAAGAUCCACCCCUGGUGCCCCCAAGCAACCAUCAAUCUGAAAGUGUUUGGUGAAUUGUGCAAGGGCAGCGCAGUCAACGAUCGGUGGUCCACAGGGCCAUUGACCGGGGGUCGUUACUCUACCCCUAACCGAACAACUGUUAACAAUGGAUAUCUUGGUUCUC
rnacentral:misc_RNA from 1 species